UCUUGUGCUAGUCGGUCAGUCGUUAGAGUGAAGCGAGCGUGCGUUCGUUCCUUUCUUUCUUUCUUCCCCUCGCGAGAGCACUUACACCCGUCUUCAUAUGCUUUUUUAUUCUUCCAUUUCUUGGUCUUAUUCUACGCAUCCAUGUUACCGAUAAUCGUUUGUACUUCUGUUGUGUUUUAUACACCCCUUCUCCCGUACCACUUUGACAACGAAUUUUCAAAAAUUAAAAAAUUGAAGUAAUUAGUUUUUGAUACCCGUAUUGGUUCCUAUCGACUACGUCAGUCGUUUCCAUAUUGCGCCAAGAUUUUUUGUUACUGGGUGUCCAUUAGUAAUGGUCACGCAAAUAAUACGAACCAGGACAAGACAAGCUACAGUGAGUCAUACAAAUGUUCAGAAAUUGGAUUAAUAUAUUAGGAACGUGAAUUUAUAUUUGAUGUUUAUUAUGGUGGAAUACCUGGAGAAAUCGAGAUUUUUCAGUGUAUAUGAACUAUUUUCAUUCUGCAAUACGAAAGUGCAACAUCUCAGUUCGAAGUGCAGAAUGUGUUUUAUUUCAAUACGGCGAUACGCAUAAAAGCGAUAACUAGCAAUCUUCUAAUAUGCGUAGAAUGGAAUUAUAUGUGCAGUAUUGUACAUUUCCAUAAGAUACAAUUUAACGCGAACGUCGUCGAAUCAACGGGAUAUGAAGUGAUAAAUAGGAAGUUCUGCAGAGCAUAAUGGAUGAAAAGCGGCAUCAAUUAUUGUUUAUGAGUGCGUUAAUUGAGUAUCUGUUUUGCAAUGAUUUCAAAUCAGAUUAAUCGUCUAUAUACAGUGAAUUAAAAAUGACGCUACUUUGCACAACGGCAAAGAUUUAGCACAAACGUGACAACUAGCACCUGGUGUAUCUUCUUAAGUGUCAAAUUGCCUCAGUGUUAAACUUGGAAAACGUGUAUUAGCAAACAAGCACAGUUUCUCUAUGGUUGAUGUAGAAUAACUGCAGUGCGCAAAAUAUGGCACGCACAAGGAUAGCACGAAGAAAAGCCAUCUCAUCGGCGGAGUUUCGUUCAGCAUUAGCAUCCCGACGGUUUCUACUGUUGCAGGCACAGUUGUUAAUUGGCCAUACACAGUUAUUAAGCCAUGAAGCACAGUUCUUUGUAUGGAUAAUAUCGUGCACAAUUACUUGAAUAUUAUGUUUAUUGGUGUACAGUUUUCGGUGCACAGUCGACGUUCAAUAUGUUGAAAACAUUCUACGAGACGGACUUUACUAAGUAAGAGUUACAAUACUUAUCUUGAGUAAGUU